GGAUGUGAGGGAGAUCUGGCUCCAACAUUGGUCACUCUACGGAUCAUCAGGGUUGAUUUGACUGAUCUGGUUGGCUGGUGGUGUGCCCUCCCCUCCCUCCUCACUGCUUGCUCUGGGUAUACCCUUCCUGAAGCUGUAUUCUGUGACAAAGAGGACAACCUUCUGGAAAGAGGAGGUUCAGUUUUCAUUCAGGGAGUAUCUCAGUAGCUGGAUUUCCUGCUAGAAGCUGCAAACAAACUCUUACGUUCCAUUUGUAGGGGAAGUUACAGUGGUCAUCCAUAUAGAUGGCCUUUAAAAUAGAUGGGUAUAU
rnacentral:snRNA from 1 species